rnacentral:pre_miRNA from 1 species
ACUUGAGCCAAGUGAAUAGAAACUGUCACAAUUGUUUAAACAAAAGUUUGUUCGUUUGGCUUAAGUUA